UACGGGGGGGGCAAGCGUUGUUCGGAAUUACUGGGCGUAAAGGGCUCGUAGGCGGCCAACUAAGUCAGACGUGAAAUCCCUCGGCUUAACCGGGGAACUGCAUCUGAUACUGGAUGGCUUGAGUUCGGGAGAGGGAUGUGGAAUUCCAGGUGUAGCGGUGAAAUGCGCAGAUAUCAGGAGGAACACCCGUAGCGAAGGCGGCACUCUGGGCCGAUACUGACGCUGAGGAGCGAAAGCGUGGGGAGCGAACAGG
rnacentral:rRNA from 1 species